AACGCGAAGAACCUUACCUGGGCUCGAACGGCUUCGGACCAUCCUUGGAAACAGGGACUUCCCGCAAGGGACUGGAGUCGAGGUGCUGCAUGGCUGUCGUCAGCUCGUGUCGUGAGAUGUUGGGUUAAGUCCCGCAACGAGCGCAACCCUUGUCCUGUGUUGGCAUGCCGCAAGGCGCAACUCUCAGGAGACCGCCAGCGAUAAGUUGGAGGAAGGUGGGGAUGACGUCAAGUCAUCAUGGCCUUUAUGUCCAGGGCCACACACGUGCUACAAUGGGCGGUACAAAGCGCUGCCAACCCGCGAGGGGGAGCUAAUCGCCAAAAACCGUCCUCAGUUCGGAUCGCAGGCUGCAACUCGCCUGCGUGAAGCUGGAAUCGCUAGUAAUGCUAUAUCAGAACGAUAGCGUGAAUACGUUCCCGGGCCUUGUA
rnacentral:rRNA from 1 species